rnacentral:lncRNA from 1 species
UAGGUGCCCUAAACCUAGGCAAUUGUCCAGCUAACCGUUUCAUUCCAAUCUAUCUUGUUGUUGCCGGAGCCUUCAGCCUUGGUUAUUGGAUUUUGUUUCCUCUACAAUUCUGCUUACCUACCCUAAGGAAAAUCCUGGCUGUCCUUUUUGCUCUUUUUUGGUUUGCCUGGUUCAUUGCAGGUAAGAGCAACACAAUAAAUAUGUUGUAUAUUGUUACCAACAUGGAUAUUACAUGUACAGAUCUGAGAUAUAGUGGUAUGUGCACAUCACUCUCUGGCUUGUGCUACCAAAUGAAAAAGACGACUAUUUGUGAUGAGUUAUGGUCGGCAAAGAUCAUAACAAAAUAUAUACAAUAACCAUGUAAUUUCGAACUACCUUUGUAUCAUGUUAUUUGACCAGAUAAUCAAUGUUCCAUGCAGAAAUANNNNNNNNNNNNNNNNNNNNNNNNNNNNNNNNNNNNNNNNNNNNNNNNNNNNNNNNNNNNNNNNNNNNNNNNNNNNNNNNNNNNNNNNNNNNNNNNNNNNAAGGCACACUCACUCUAUAUAUACUACUUUCUACAUACACGCAACUACAUUACUUAUUUGUCAUUAGUGAUGCAUUUGGCUUUUGGGCUUUCCUAGACUCAGCUGAGUUUAUAUGUAUAUAUAUAUAUAUAUAUAUAUAUAUAUAUAUAUAUAUAUAUUUGCACACACAUGUAUGUAUAUUAAUGUAUAGAAUGUAUGUGCAUAUUUACAUUUGUGAAGAUAGGAUGUGUAUGUAAUAUAUAUCUCAUAAGAGAUGACAUUAGGUUGCUAGAGUAGGACCUGCCAAAAAUGAGGUAUUUUGGCGCUGUGGCAGGCUUAUGCAAUGUACGAACAUAUACUGUAACUAAAUCCCCAUUAAUUUUGCCCGUCGGAUGAUUUAAGAAAUGUAUUGCAUUUUGUGAACUUUGAAGAUGGUGUUUAGUGAGUGAGUGCACCAGAUCUUGUGUGUUGUGUACAUGUAGAUCUAGCCCACAUUCUAAAAUGCAACAUUCACAACUAUCACUUUAUAUGGCUGCUUGCUUACUGAUUUUAAUGUAUAUUUACAUACUGCUUGCAUAUCUUGAUUUCAAUACAUAUGUCAAUACAUUUGUUUUAGCUUUCGUGUUGCUUUUAAUAUUAAUACAAGUCAGGUUUUCAAUGUUUUAGCUACUCAUUUCUAUAAAGCAGUUUUAUAUCCAUGUACUUACCUGUAGUAUAUGUCAAUGUAGGAAAAGCAUGAUGUAUGUGCUUUGUAAACCACUCUACAAAUAAUACAAUGUAAUUCAGAAAAGUUCAUGCUUUGACCAUAUUCCACGAGAAGCUCUAUUAUUACACAGUAAUAAUUUGUGUUGGAAAAAAAUGUAUGUAACCAUCUGUAAUAAAUACUUGUGAUUCAGUUAGGUUUGCUAAAAUCUCAUCCCAUAAAGAAACCAAAAGUUUUGUAAGUGUGACAUUCUCUUAAUUUAUUAUUUUAUUUGAUACAAGGAAACCAUUCCUUUUACCCAGGAGAGGUAUUGAAUGACCAAUACUAGUGAAAUGUAGAUUUUUUUUUUUUAAAGUCUAGUCAGAGGCUCUUGUAGUUCAGAUCUAAUAAAGCGGUUGGGGCCUGCUGCUCUUUCCUUGAUGGCAACUCCGACAUAACAGUCACUUGAGUGGUUAGUAAAAUCUCAGUUAAAGAGAAGCCAAGAUACUAAUAACAGAUUUUUUUUUUCAUGCGAGCUACUAAUUUGUGAAAAUGUUCUUUUCAAGUUUAAAUUUUUUUAACAGGAAUAUCUUUCAAAUUUUACAGGAAGCGUGUGGGUGUUUAGAGCAUACCGCCCACCAGCAACGGGCGUAUGCAACAUUGGCAUGUACCUCUUUGCUUUCUCAAUCCUGAUCAUACAAUAUAUAUUGAUUGGACUCGGAAUAAUUUCUGGUCUAAUUACCUGCUGCUGCUCUUCAGUCUUGGUAAGUUUUUUUUUACUUUAUUGUAUCUUUUCAUACUGUUCUUGUACUACAUAUACCUAAAGCAAACUUGAAUAGCCACUUCCUAUAACCCAUGAGUCAAAACCCCUUAAUUGUGGUUUUCUAAUCGGGGCUACCAUCACAGGGUUUGUGCAAUAUAGUGGCAGUUGGGUGGCAGAUGUCAACAUUAUUCUAAGAAUUGGCUAUUGGGGUCACUAUAGUCACCAAAAUAACUUUAGCUUAAUGAAGCAGUUUUGGUGUGUAGACCAUGUCCCUGUAGUCUUACUGCUCAAUUCUCUGUCAUUUAGGAGUUAAAGCACAAUGUUUAUGCAGCCCUAGGCACACCUCCCUGUAUGUGACUUACACAGCCAUGCUAAACACUUCCUGUAAAGAGUCGUCUAAUGUUUACACUUCCAUUAUUGAAAAUUCUGUUUUAAUUUAGAAUUUCGUAUCUCCUGCUCUGUUAAUAGCUUGCUAGACACUGCAGGAGUCUCCUCUGUGUGAUUAAAGUUCAAUUUAUAGAGCAGGAGAUAAAAACUUUUAAAGUAAGUUACAUGUGAUUGAAAACUAAACCAUUUUGUUUUCAUGCAGGUUGUGUGAGUCACAGCCAGGGUAGGUGUGGAUAGGGCUGCUAUUAAACUCCUAAAUGGCAGAGAAUUGAGCAGUGAAACUUCAGAGGCAUGAUCUAUACACCAAAACGGCUUCAUUAAGCUAAAGUUGUUAUGGUGACUAUAGUGUCCCUUUAAUAAGAACGUUUUAUUGUCAUUUUGAAGUUGAGAUAGUGUUUUUUUUUUUUUUUCUUUUACUGGAUAUCAUGAGCAAGGGAUCUUGUUAUUGUAACAAUUUUCACUACUGUAACUAUUUAUGCACAAUGUGUUCCCUUGUGGUAUAUAAUUCUCUUUAAGCAGUAUGCAUUCAGAGAAGCCUGCUAGUUAGGAAAUUAUAAACGUAUCUAUCUAUUAUCUAUAUAUAGUGAGUGAACAACUGCACACACAAACCCAGCAGAGGGGUUUGCCUUUUUCAAGUUAUUAACACAAACUCAUACUCCUUGGUUAAGUAUUCAGGCUUUCUAAACAUAUGUUAUGGAGAGCAAAAAACGGGUCGCAAGAGUAUUCUGAGAACGGACAGCAGCUAAAAUCGCCUGCCCUUCGGUGGGUCCCCACUCAGAACUCAAGCUGGUUUUAGCUCAUCUUGUGCCAUUACAAAGAGAACAUAUCUGAAGCAUAUCAGACUGGUCCCACCCAUACGGGCAGUCCAGAUCCAAAAUGCCAGCAAGUUCUCUCUGCACGAGAGAUACAGCAACCCCAGACGAUCGUUUCAGCCUUGUUGGGCAUAGUCAGUGAGGCAUAGCUGAUAUCUCUCUAGGCACCAUGAGCAAGGGGUCCACGUCUGGAUUACCCUUUAAACUAAUGGAGGGCAAAAAAUGGGUCGCAAGAGUAUUCUGAGAACGGACAGCAGCUAAAAUAGCCUGCCCUUCGGUGAGUCCCCGCCCUUGCUCACGGUGCCUAGAGAGAUAUCAGCUAUGCCUCACUGAUGAUGCCUAACAAGGCUGAAACGAUCGUUUGGGGUUGCUUUGUCUCUCGUGCAGAGAGAACUUGCUGGCAUUUUGGAUCUGGACUGCCCAUAUGGGUGGGACCAGUCAGAUAUGCUUCAGAUAUGUUCUCUCUGUAAUGGCUCAAGAUGAGCUAAAACCAGCUUGAGUUCCGAGCGGGGACCCACCGAAGGGCAGGCUAUUUAAGCUGCUGUCCGUUCUUGGAAUACUCUUGCAACCUGUUUUUUUGCUUUUCUAAACAUAUGUUAUACAGCACCACAGAUAUAAAGAUACACAGUGCAUAAUGCUCUCUGUAAAAGCCUAUAUUAAAAUAAAUUAAAACAAAAUACAAACUCACAAUAUGCAGGUCAAGGAUGCCUAAUUUUGGGUCAAAGGUAUUUCCUUCAUUGCUUGUUCUUAACCCGAGUCCUUUUGUUGAUAAUGUCUCUCUAACCACUCCCUGUGGAUUCAUCAUGUUGACAUCUGAAUAUAUAAGCAGGCUGCAUAAUCUAUUUAUGAAUAUAUCCACUUAAUUCCAUCUUGCUAAAUCACAAGUCAAACAACACAGCCAGGUUUGUAAUGCAGUUCUCAACAGAAAUAUGCAAAUUGAAAAUAAAUACAAUUACACUAAAAGGGAAGAGAAGGGUCAAACAUUUGAUAGGGAAGAGAGGAAACAAGAAAUGUAGGGUCAAGCUCAUUGGCAGAUGCAGUGGAUACAGCGGCUGCAGCCAUAUUCCUGGUACCACAACCACUACAGCAGGCUGUAGUAAUUAUAUUGCAUAAAGUGUUCCUUUAAGAGGACGAAAGCAAAUGAGCUUAAAAGGAGGAUUAAUGGAAUAAGGAAGAGAUUUAUGGAACAGAAAAGAAUAUGCAGGUUCUGAAUAGCACAAGUGGAAGAGUGCUGGAAUGGAUGGGGUCAGGUGAAGGUGGCCGAGGAGGUGAAUAUCAUAUUUUUGUACUAAGCCUUUAAAUGCUGAUGAUGAUAUAGUCCCUAACUUUUCUAGUUUUAUAAACCUUCUAACUAAUAAUAUGCUCCCUGUGAGAAAGCCGUGGCAUUGUCUUUAUUUGCAGGCUAAUUCAGUCAAUAUUCCAUAAAUCAAACAAAAAGUAUAAAGAAAACAAAACAAUACUAUCACCACAAUCAUGUGUGAAUAGUGUGAAAUAAUUAUGCAAUAUACUUAUGCAGUAAAUCAAGUGGACAGCCACCCAAGGAUCACUUCCCAGGUAGUGAUCUUUAAACCAGAAUACAAGCAAAAUACAUAUGGGAUACGGCUGUGGAAUCUAAAAAGUACAUAGACAAACCAUAGUGUAAUACUACUUUAACAAAUAAUGUGCGCUGUACAAAAAUGCACUCACAAGAUGUAGAUGUAUUAUGCACUCAAAGGUUGCCUCUCCCGCUGUAAUUGGGGGCCAUAUGUACAGCGCAUAUAUUUGUUUAAAUUGUAUUACACUAUGUUUUGUGUAUGUUCUUUUUAGAUUUCACAGCCGUAUCCCCAUAUGUGUUUUUCCAAUAUUCCAUAAAGCACUGAAUGAAUGCAAUAUGUGUAAAAGUAAAAGGUGUAUUAUUUCAUACUUGUGGAGAAUAAUGGAAAGAAAUGCAUAAGCAUGGCAUUCCUUAUUCUUGUAUGAAAUCUUUGUGUUCCUACAUCUAUAUUCCCUGCUACAUUUAGCUUUAUAUAACACAUUUAUAGUUUAUGUUUUGCUGCAAUAUGACUCAUCUAGUUAUUUCUCUUUAUCUGAAUGACUAUGAAUUUUUGUGAGUGAAAUAGAUGGUUCCUGUUAAAUAAUUUGCUUUUCAGCAUAGGCACACUUACAAAUAUAGUACAUCCUCUAUCUUCUAGGAGAUUUUUUAAAUUAAAUAUCAAUCGCCUUUCACAGUGUUGUCAGCACAUAAUACACAUUUUUAUUUUACAUACUUUGUGCCUCAUCUUGCUUCACUUUGUCUAAUUUUUUAGGUAUAUGCCAAUGCAUAAUAUAGAUCGCUACAUUUACAGUAUCAUACUAUAUAACUUGAUCAGGGGCAGGCUGACACUGGGUGGGUGAUCAAGGGCUCCCCCUCCUGGUUCAGGGUUUUCUGGCCCCCUACUACUCUUCUCCCUUCUUUCUGCUGCUUUCACACCGAUAUUAUGUGUACGCUGCCCAGCACACGGAAUGGCUGUGUGCGAGUCACACAACCCUGACUCCCACACCUGCAGAGCCCCCAGAAAUGGCCAGAUUUACUUUUAAGGGGUUAAUCCAACCAAAAACAGUGCCUCCCCAGCAAUUAAAAUAAAGAAAUAAAACAAAUUUAAUUACACACUUUCACUAUUUUUGCUUAAGACAUCACAAGCAGCAUCCCCCACAUGUGCAACCAUACAAGUAGCGGCAUGUGUUUGGAGUCUACUUAUGGGGUUCCGUGUGUGGGGAUGCUGCUAGUGAUGUUGUGCUCCUGUAUGUCAAAGUGUUGUUAGAAUUAAUCGUUUCUCUUGUUUUACCUACUGUACAGCGCUGUGGAAUAUGUUAGCGCUAUAUAAGAGAUUGUAAUUGUGUGUGUGUGGAGGCUGUAUGCAAUAUAGCAAUGGUGGGUAUGCUGUUUGUGAUGUGUAUGUGUAGGGAGGCUGCAUGUGGUUUUUGCGUGGGUGAAUGGGGCUACUUGCAGUGCAGUAUGUGAGUGGAGAGGACUGGUUGUGUUGCAGUGGGUGUGGGAUAGAAUCUGUAGUAGGCAUCUGGCAGUUACUGGGGCUGUAGUGUGCGCGUGUUUGGAUAAUAAAGGCUCUACUGUGUAUAAGUAGGAUAGCAGCUGUAGUGUGCGCGUGGGGGGAUAGAUGCUGAAGUAGGUGCAGGGAGACACAGGGCUGUGGUGAGUGAUGGGAGAUAUGAGGACAGAGGUGUGUGCAAGGAGGCACAGGGACUGAGGUGGGCGCGGCGAGGUUUGGGAGACUGAGGUGGGCACAGGGAGGCACAGGGGCUGUGAUAGGCGGGGGGCUGAGGUUGGUGCGGGGUUGGACAGAGUAUGAGGUGGGACAUAGAGGUUGUGGUGUGCGCAGGAGGGGACAGAGGCUGUGGUGGAUACUGAAAGGUAAAGGGGCUAUUAUAGUUAGAGGUAGCAUAAGGGCUCUGGUGGAAGCAUAGGGGCUUAGGUGAGUACAGGGAUAGGUAGAUCCUGUGGUGGGUGUUGGGAAGAAUGGUGGCUGCGGUGAGUGCAGGGAGAGCUGUGGUGAUUACAGGGUGGCUGAGGUUGGUGCAAGGAGACAGGGGGCUAAGGUGGGUACAGUGGGAGAUGUGGUGUGUGUAGGAGUAGCUGUAGUGGGUGCAGAGAGGGCUGAGGUGGGUGUAGGGGGAGCUGUGGUGAUGAGAACAGGGUGGCUGAGGUCGGUGUAGGGAGGCAGGAGGCUAAGGUGAAUAAAGGGGGGCUGAGGUGGGUGCAGGAGGAUAUGUGGUGUGUGCAGAAGGAGCUGUGGUGGGUGCAUGUAGACAAUAGGCUGUGGUGGGCACAGGGAGGUUCAUAGGGGCUGUGGUGGGUACUGGAAGGCAAAGGAGCUAUGGUAGCUGAAGUUGGCAUAGAGGCUGUGGUGGGUGCAUAGGGGCUUAGGUGGGUACAGGAAUAGGUAGAUCCUGGGGUGAGAGUAGGGAGGAACGGUGGCUGAGGUGAGUGCAGGGGAACUGAUGUGGGUGCAGGGGGAGCUGUGCUGAGUACAGGGGGCUGAGGUGGGUGCAGAGAGACAGGGGACUGAGGUGGGUGCGAGGGGAGAUGUGCUGUGUGGAGGAGGAGCUGAGGUGGAUACAGAGGUGUGUUGAGAUAGGUACAGAACGGGGCUGAGGUGGGUACAGAGGGGGGCUGAGGUGGGAGCAGAGGGAGGUGUGGUGGGUGCAGGGAGACAGGGGGUGCUAAGGUGAGUGCAAAAAAAAAUAAUCUAUAAGGAUCUUACCUGUGCAGUCUGACAGGCUGUUGCAAAUCCUUAUCUUCAGGGUGCUCUUCAGAUGAGGGCAGGAAGUGAUGUCACUUCCCAGCCCCACCUCUUUCUCCUCACACACCGCACCGCACAGAGGCUGGAGACCUGGCAGUAAAAACUGAAUGAUCGCUGCCAGGUCGUCCUGAGAAAACAGAAGCUGAUGAUUGAUAUACCUGUAUACAGGGUGAUAUGUUGCAGGGCGCCCUACAACAUAUCACUGGAAUAUGGGAGAAAUCAUGUUUUUCUGGCAUGGCUGUGCUGCCGGCCCCUGACUGUCUCUGGCCCUCGAUUCAUGACUGAUCUGCCCAACUGGUCAGUCCGCCCCUGAACUUGAUGCAGAAUAUGUAAUCCUGGGUUGAAAAAGUCGGUCUGCAUUAGACAACCCAGUUUUAGUACAUGGCUUAGAUGUUAUUCAUUUAUAAAACACUUAUAUAGUUAUAUAAUAGUCUAGGAUUGUGAUGUCAGUUGUGAAAUCUUUAACCCUUUAAGAUUCAACGAUGAUCUAAGCCAGAGGUAGGCAAUCUUCAGAGCGCCAAAUGAGAACUACAUUUCCCAUGGUGAUUUGCCAGCAUUAUUGCUGUAAGAGCAUUAUGGGAAAUGUAGUCCACAACAUCUGGAGGACCGAAGGUUGCCUCCCCCUGGUUUAUGCGAUUCAAAUAAUUUGUUCUUUAUGGAUCCUAUUCCCAUGGAAUUGAUUUUUGGAAGAUUGAAAAGAGGUGUUGAAGCUAAAUAAGUGGAACUUUAUAUUCUGGCAUUGGAUAUACAUGGACAAUAAAGUAACAGUAUAGUUUAGCAUUUGGGCCUUAAGAGGUUAAUAUACAGUACAAUUAAAAUAAAAUGAUGCUUUACAUGCAAAAUGGUUAACACAAGUUCUAGGUGAUUUUCAAUGUUUUACUUAAUAGUGCAAUUUCCCUUCUAAUUCUUUUGACAGUCAGCCUACCAUUAGAAUACUUUAUUUCAAUUAGGUUAUUAAAAUAUAUAAUAAAAGCGUGCACUAUUUCAUGCAGUCAAGCAGUAAACCGUUUAGACGUCUCCUUUUAAUUCCUUUCAUUCUACCAAAUAAUAUUUUGUCUGUUUUAUUUUUUAGUGUUGCGUUCGGAAAGCCUGAGCUCCAAGAAAGAAGCAAAUGAUUGAACAAUGACAAUUUAACCACUUAUUGUUAUUAUUAUUAUACUAUUAAAAUCCUUAUUAGUGACAAAUCGG